CUGCAACUGUUUAUUAAAAACACAGCACUGUGCAAACACGAAAGUGGACGUAUACGGUGUGACGCCUGCCCGGUGCCGGAAGGUUAAUUGAUGGGGUCAGCGCAAGCGAAGCUCCUGAUCGAAGCCCCGGUAAACGGCGGCCGUAACUAUAACGGUCCUAAGGUAGCGAAAUUCCUUGUCGGGUAAGUUCCGACCUGCACGAAUGGCGUAAUGAUGGCCAGGCUGUCUCCACCCGGGACUCAGUGAAAUUGAACUCGCUGUGAAGAUGCAGUGUACCCGCGGCAAGACGGAAAGACCCCGUGAACCUUUACUAUAGCUUGACACUGAACACUGGUCCUUGAUGUGCAGGAUAGGUGGGAGGCUUUGAAGUGUGGACGCCAGUCUGCAUGGAGCCAUCCUUGAAAUACCACCCUUUAAUGGCUGGUGUUCUAACGUGGGCCCGUGAACCGGGUUGCGGACAGUGUCUGGUGGGUAGUUUGACUGGGGCGGUCUCCUCCUAAAGAGUAACGGAGGAGCACGAAGGUUGGCUAAUCCUGGUCGGACAUCAGGAGGUUAGUGCAAUGGCAUAAGCCAGCUUGACUGCGAGCGUGACGGCGCGAGCAGGUGCGAAAGCAGGUCAUAGUGAUCCGGUGGUUCUGAAUGGAAGGGCCAUCGCUCAACGGAUAAAAGGUACUCCGGGGAUAACAGGCUGAUACCGCCCAAGAGUUCAUAUCGACGGCGGUGUUUGGCACCUCGAUGUCGGCUCAUCACAUCCUGGGGCUGAAGUAGGUCCCAAGGGUAUGGCUGUUCGCCAUUUAAAGUGGUACGCGAGCUGGGUUUAGAACGUCGUGAGACAGUUCGGUCCCUAUCUGCCGUGGGCGCUGGAAGAUUGAGGGGGGCUGCUCCUAGUACGAGAGGACCGGAGUGGACGCAUCACUGGUGUUCGGGUUGUCAUGCCAAUGGCACUGCCCGGUAGCUACAUGCGGAAGAGAUAAGUGCUGAAAGCAUCUAAGCACGAAACUUGCCCCGAGAUGAAUCUUCCCUGAGCCUUUAAGGCUCCUGAAGGAACGUUGAAGACGACGACGUUGAUAGGCCGGGUGUGUAAGCGCAGCGAUGCGUUGAGCUAACCGGUACUAAUGAACCGUGAGGCUUAACCUUACAACGCCGAAG
rnacentral:rRNA from 1 species